rnacentral:tRNA from 1 species
AGGGUUGUGGCUCAGAGGUAGAGCGCUUGCCUAGUAUGCAUGAGGCACUGGGUUCAAUCCUCAGCACCACAU